rnacentral:RNase_P_RNA from 1 species
GGAUCGAGAUAGAGGAAAGUCCGGGCAACGAAUAGCAGCUAUCUGGUUAACGGCCAGUCCUAAAUAUUUAGGAGGAAAGUGCUACAGAAAAUAACUAUCCACCAGCCGGUGGACAAAGGUGAAAACGUGAGGUAAGAGCUCACGACGCAGUUUGGUGACAAGUUGUGUGAGUAAACCCAUAGCGUUGCAAUGCCAAAUAAGCGGGAGCCUGAGGAUAGCUAGUCCGAUUUCCGUGGGUAGGCAGCUAGAUUCCUUCAGCAAUGAAGGAGCGAGAUAAAUAAUGAGCAUUCGCCAUAUGGCGAAUACAGAACCCGGCUUACAGACCUGCUUUU